GAUGAACGCUGGCGGCGUGCUUAACACAUGCAAGUCGAACGAUGAAGCCCAGCUUGCUGGGUGGAUUAGUGGCGAACGGGUGAGUAACACGUGAGUAACCUGCCCUUAACUCUGGGAUAAGCCUGGGAAACUGGGUCUAAUACCAGAUAGGAGCGUCCACCGCAUGGUGGGUGUUGGAAAGAUUUAUCGGUUUUGGAUGGACUCGCGGCCUAUCAGCUUGUUGGUGAGGUAAUGGCUCACCAAGGCGACGACGGGUAGCCGGCCUGAGAGGGUGACCGGCCACACUGGGACUGAGACACGGCCCAGACUCCUACGGGAGGCAGCAGUGGGGAAUAUUGCACAAUGGGCGCAAGCCUGAUGCAGCGACGCCGCGUGAGGGAUGACGGCCUUCGGGUUGUAAACCUCUUUCAGUAGGGAAGAAGCGAAAGUGACGGUACCUGCAGAAGAAGCACCGGCUAACUACGUG
rnacentral:rRNA from 1 species